rnacentral:misc_RNA from 1 species
UUGCGCGUAGGGGUGAACUCGGCUGGGCGCGGCAAGCUGAAGACUGAGAGCGGUGGCCAUGGCGAGCAGCAGGAGGGUGGCCGAGCUGGAGCCGACGCAGAGGUUGGGGACUGGGCGCUGAACACGCUGCAGCAGGGAGCUCGACAGGGCGACGGCCUGAAGAACGGGCAGAGGGAUGGGCGCGCAGGGGAGAGAGCCAAGGGCUGCUCACGCCCAGAGGCCGACGGCCAUGGAUCUAGAGCACCCCGCGACCACCAUGGGAAACGAGCAAAAGACUCACGCGAGCUAGAAGAGAAAGGGAGGGCGUGCGUCAGGGAGAUGGAGCGCCAGGAACAGACGCGCCAUGCCUGGGAGCUUGGAGCAGAGAAGCUGGGCGCCGAGCAGGGAGCGUGA